UGGGGUGCACCAGGCGCGAAAACUUUACAAUGCUGGCAACAGCGAUAAGGGGACCUCGAGUGCCAGGAUACAAUCUUGGCUGUCGCGAUGCCUAAAAAGCAUUGCAUAGCAAGGGCCGGGCAAGACCGGUGCCAGCCGCCGCGGUAACACCGGCGGCUCGAGUGGUAACCGCUAUUAUUGGGUCUAAAGGGUCUGUAGCCGGCCGGAUAAGUCUUUUGGGAAAUCCAGCUGCUCAACAGUUGGGCUUUCAGAAGAUACUGUUCGGCUCGAGACCGGGAGAGGUGAGAGGUACUUCAGGGGUAGGGGUGAAAUCUUGUAAUCCUUGAAGGACCACCAGUGGCGAAGGCGUCUCACCAGAACGGAUCUGACGGCAAGGGACGAAAGCUAGGGGCACGAACCGGAUUAGAUACCCGGGUAGUCCUAGCCGUAAACGAUACUCGCUAGGUGUCAGCCACGGUGCGACCGUGGUUGGUGCCGUAGGGAAGCCGUGAAGCGAGCCACCUGGGAAGUACGGCCGCAAGGCUGAAACUUAAAGGAAUUGGCGGGGGAGCAC
rnacentral:rRNA from 1 species